UACGUAGGGGGCAAGCGUUGUCCGGAUUUAUUGGGCGUAAAGAGCGUGUAGGCGGCCAUACAGGUCCGUUGUGAAAACUGGAGGCUUAACCUCCAGACGUCGAUGGAAACCGUAUGGCUAGAGUCCGGAAGAGGAGAGUGGAAUUCCUGGUGUAGCGGUGAAAUGCGCAGAUAUCAGGAGGAACACCAAUGGCGAAGGCAGCUCGCUGGAACGGUACUGACGCUGAGACGCGAAAGCGUGGGGAGCGAACAGG
rnacentral:rRNA from 1 species